UACAGAGGGUGCGAGCGUUGUUCGGAAUUAUUGGGCGUAAAGGGCAGGUAGGUGGUCUUGAAAGUCUGCUGUGAAAUCCCCGGGCUCAACCUGGGAAUGGCAUUUGGGACUGCAAGGCUUGAGUGCGGCAGGGGCAGAGGGAAUUUCCGGUGGAGCGGUGAAAUGCAUUGAGAUCGGAAAGAACACCAACGGCGAAAGCACUCUGCUGGGCCGACACUGACACUGAGAGACGAAAGCUAGGGGAGCAAAUGGG
rnacentral:rRNA from 1 species